GAUUUUUGAGAACACGAAAGAAGAAAGAACGAAAGACACUGCUAAAUUUUGAAAAUUCUAAACAGUGCGAUACAUACAUAAUUAACAAAAUUUUAAUUAUACAUAGCUGUUAAGUGUAAACUGUAAUAUAUAGAACUAUAUAUAAUUUACAUAUAUAUGUAACUGAGAUUACAUAAAUGUAUUUCAUCACAUAAUAUGUACAUGGUACAAAACAAUUCAACAACUUGUUGUUUGGGCGCUCAGAAUUAAGAGAUUGACCAAAGCAGUAUGUUAUCUUGUACUGUCUGCUUUUGUGUGUACAACCCUGCUGUUUGUGGCAAACUGGGUAGACAUUUCCAUAGAAAAACCCUUAAUAAGUUGACUGAUUGAUCAUGAAGAAUUUGGCGCGCAUUCCAGGCUACCCCAAGCGGUUGAGACACGGGAGAAAUGGAUUGAGUUCAUUCAAUCAGUGCGAGGACCUGACUGGAAACCUACCAAUUUGGAAACCAUCCGUGUGUGCUCAGACCAUUUUGAUAAAACAGAUUACAGAGAGAGUUCUCCAAGGCUAUUAAAACAUAAGGACCUGGUACCAUAUUUAAUUGCAGAAAAAAGAACCAAGAGGAAGAUAUCGGAAGAUCCCGUUGAUUGCCCAAUUGAAAAACAAAAAGCUCUUGUGAGUACAAGAGAAGUUGAAACACAGACUGAUUCAGCCACAGAAGAGACGAUUGAUUUGGUUUCAAACGAGGGAAGGAAGACUUUACUGACAAUGAGGGAUUAUUUUGAGGAGAAAAUCAAAGGCCUUGAAUGCAUCACCAGGCAGCCACUGAUGUUAGCUGAAUUCAGAGAACUUGGCCAGCUGAAAAGGACAGUCAAAGAUUUAGAUGAGAGAAUCAAGAAGUGGGCUCUUAGUGUGAUGAGAGAUGAAAUUGUUGUGCCAGAUGAGAGGCUGCAAGUUACUGAAUUUUUGCAAGCACAGUUCCAGAUUUCAAAGUCCGAAGAAAAACUAGCGAAAAUUCAGGCCAAAAAUAAGGAGAAAAAACUUGAGAUAUUGAGUGAAAGUGUUGAAGCAGUUCGGAGAGAAAAUGUGGAUUUGAAAGUACGCUUAGGUGAGAAGGCUCGAGCUCGCGAGGCUGACGAAAAGCUGAUAGCAGAAUUGAAAUCCGAGAUCGAAGAUAUGAAGUUUCAGCUUACACUAGCUAAUAUUCAGUCAAAUGCCAAAACAGUGCAACUCAACUUGAAAUUGAACGCUGCAAACAAAGAGCUUGCCAAUAGACACAGGAUUAUUCAAAUGGAGAAGAAGAAGCAAGCAGAUCUGAUGAGGGUCAUUGAAAAGGGGGUCCUUAAAAAACCUAAAACAAUGAAAAGUGGCUCUGCUGUUAUACCUCAGAUACCAUUCAGCAAACUAGUUUUGCCCUUUAAAGCUGUUGUUCCAGAUAUUCCAUUAGUUGAUAUGGUAGAGAAUGAAGAAACUUUGGAAACUGUUGUCAUAAAUGUUGAUCCUCUUAAAUCAGAGGGUAAUCAAUAAUGCUUUCUGUGACCAUAUUUUUCAAGGUUCUCAAUGGUUCUCAGCUUAUGCAAAUGAUGAUUAAAUUUCCUACUCAUGAAUUCAACAAAUGAUUUUAAAUUUAAGUAAAUUUUGAAAUAAAAAGCACAGUUUUCCAA